rfam:Ancylostoma duodenale strain Zhejiang A_duodenale-1.0_Cont21932.1, whole genome shotgun sequence.
CGAAUUAGGUUACUGCGCUCCACUAAAGCCAGUUACCGCGGUUCAUAAGUUCCCCAACUUAAUGAACCUUUGAAAAACCGCCUGCCAGGGCGGUUUUUCUU